rnacentral:rRNA from 1 species
UUAAGCGACUAAGCGUACACGGUGGAUGCCCUGGCAGUCAGAGGCGAUGAAGGACGUGCUAAUCUGCGAAAAGCGCCGGCGAGGUGAUAUGAACCUUUGACCCGGCGAUGUCCGAAUGGGGAAACCCAGUGCAAUUCGUUGCACUAUCGUUAACUGAAUACAUAGGUUAACGAGGCGAACCGGGGGAACUGAAACAUCUAAGUACCCCGAGGAAAAGAAAUCAACCGAGAUUCCCCCAGUAGCGGCGAGCGAACGGGGAGCAGCCCAGAGUCUGAAUCAGCUUGUGUGUUAGUGGAAGCGUCUGGAAAGUCGCACGGUACAGGGUGACAGUCCCGUACACGAAAGCACACAGGUUGUGAACUCGAAGAGUAGGGCGGGACACGUGGUAUCCUGUCUGAAUAUGGGGGGACCAUCCUCCAAGGCUAAAUACUCCUGACUGACCGAUAGUGAACCAGUACCGUGAGGGAAAGGCGAAAAGAACCCCGGCGAGGGGAGUGAAAAAGAACCUGAAACCGUGUACGUACAAGCAGUGGGAGCACCUUCGUGGUGUGACUGCGUACCUUUUGUAUAAUGGGUCAGCGACUUAUAUUCUGUAGCAAGGUUAACCGUAUAGGGGAGCCGAAGGGAAACCGAGUCUUAACUGGGCGUUAAGUUGCAGGGUAUAGACCCGAAACCCGGUGAUCUAGCCAUGGGCAGGUUGAAGGUUGGGUAACACUAACUGGAGGACCGAACCGACUAAUGUUGAAAAAUUAGCGGAUGACUUGUGGCUGGGGGUGAAAGGCCAAUCAAACCGGGAGAUAGCUGGUUCUCCCCGAAAGCUAUUUAGGUAGCGCCUCGUGAACUCAUCUUCGGGGGUAGAGCACUGUUUCGGCUAGGGGGCCAUCCCGGCUUACCAACCCGAUGCAAACUACGAAUACCGAAGAAUGUUAUCACGGGAGACACACGGCGGGUGCUAACGUCCGUCGUGAAGAGGGAAACAACCCAGACCGCCAGCUAAGGUCCCAAAGUCAUGGUUAAGUGGGAAACGAUGUGGGAAGGCACAGACAGCCAGGAUGUUGGCUUAGAAGCAGCCAUCAUUUAAAGAAAGCGUAAUAGCUCACUGGUCGAGUCGGCCUGCGCGGAAGAUGUAACGGGGCUAAACCAUGCACCGAAGCUGCGGCAGCGACGCUUAGGCGUUGUUGGGUAGGGGAGCGUUCUGUAAGCCGUUGAAGGUGUCUGUGAGGCAUGCUGGAGGUAUCAGAAGUGCGAAUGCUGACAUAAGUAACGAUAAAGCGGGUGAAAAGCCCGCUCGCCGGAAGACCAAGGGUUCCUGUCCAACGUUAAUCGGGGCAGGGUGAGUCGACCCCUAAGGCGAGGCCGAAAGGCGUAGUCGAUGGGAAACAGGUUAAUAUUCCUGUACUUGGUGUUACUGCGAAGGGGGGACGGAGAAGGCUAUGUUAGCCGGGCGACGGUUGUCCCGGUUUAAGCAUGUAGGCGGAGGUUCCAGGUAAAUCCGGUACCUUAUUAACGCUGAGGUGUGAUGACGAGGCACUACGGUGCUGAAGUAACAAAUGCCCUGCUUCCAGGAAAAGCCUCUAAGCAUCAGGUAACACGAAAUCGUACCCCAAACCGACACAGGUGGUCAGGUAGAGAAUACCAAGGCGCUUGAGAGAACUCGGGUGAAGGAACUAGGCAAAAUGGUGCCGUAACUUCGGGAGAAGGCACGCUGAUAUGUAGGUGAAGCCCCUGCGGGUGGAGCUGAAAUCAGUCGAAGAUACCAGCUGGCUGCAACUGUUUAUUAAAAACACAGCACUGUGCAAACACGAAAGUGGACGUAUACGGUGUGACGCCUGCCCGGUGCCGGAAGGUUAAUUGAUGGGGUUAGCGGCAACGCGAAGCUCUUGAUCGAAGCCCCGGUAAACGGCGGCCGUAACUAUAACGGUCCUAAGGUAGCGAAAUUCCUUGUCGGGUAAGUUCCGACCUGCACGAAUGGCGUAAUGAUGGCCAGGCUGUCUCCACCCGAGACUCAGUGAAAUUGAACUCGCUGUGAAGAUGCAGUGUACCCGCGGCAAGACGGAAAGACCCCGUGAACCUUUACUAUAGCUUGACACUGAACACUGGUCCUUGAUGUGUAGGAUAGGUGGGAGGCUUUGAAGCGUGGACGCCAGUCUGCGUGGAGCCGACCUUGAAAUACCACCCUUUAAUGGCUGGUGUUCUAACGUAGACCCGUGAUCCGGGUUGCGGACAGUGUCUGGUGGGUAGUUUGACUGGGGCGGUCUCCUCCCAAAGAGUAACGGAGGAGCACGAAGGUUAGCUAAUCCUGGUCGGACAUCAGGAGGUUAGUGCAAUGGCAUAAGCUAGCUUGACUGCGAGAGUGACGGCUCGAGCAGGUGCGAAAGCAGGUCAUAGUGAUCCGGUGGUUCUGAAUGGAAGGGCCAUCGCUCAACGGAUAAAAGGUACUCCGGGGAUAACAGGCUGAUACCGCCCAAGAGUUCAUAUCGACGGCGGUGUUUGGCACCUCGAUGUCGGCUCAUCACAUCCUGGGGCUGAAGUAGGUCCCAAGGGUAUGGCUGUUCGCCAUUUAAAGUGGUACGCGAGCUGGGUUUAGAACGUCGUGAGACAGUUCGGUCCCUAUCUGCCGUGGGCGCUGGAGAAUUGAGGGGGGCUGCUCCUAGUACGAGAGGACCGGAGUGGACGCAUCACUGGUGUUCGGGUUGUCAUGCCAAUGGCACUGCCCGGUAGCUAAAUGCGGAAAAGAUAAGUGCUGAAAGCAUCUAAGCACGAAACUUGCCCCGAGAUGAGUUCUCCCUGACCCUUUAAGGGUCCUGAAGGAACGUUGAAGACUACGACGUUGAUAGGUCGGGUGUGUAAGCGCAGCGAUGCGUUGAGCUAACCGAUACUAAUGAACCGUGAGGCUUAACCU